GGAACUGGGCUGGAGGGAGAGUCCUUGCUGAGCGUGUUUACCGACAGCAUGUUAUAUUUGGAGCCCUGUGCUACACAGGUUCAGAUGAAGAGAUUCUGUGGCGAUGAAUGUGGAGCCUGGGAGGAGCAUUGAGUCUGACUGCCAUGUUACACAGAAAGCUGUCUGCCUGACACUACACCAGCUUGGCAGGCUAGGACACCAGGCACAGAAACGCUUCUCCCUGAAGACAGACACCACAAAUGGGAUUCUAGGACUUAACCAACAGACAAGCUGGGCUACAGUAACAGAAGGAAUUCGUUAUUAAUGUGUUUUUUUCUUCUUUUUCUUUUAUUGUAUCUAUAUGAGAAUAUGGAUGUUAGUGGAACAUAUUUCACAAUAUAUGUAAUUCAAACCAUCAUGCUGUUUGCCUUAAACUUAAUGUAUGCCAAUUAUUUUUCAAUAAAACUGGAAAAAAUAUA